UGAGGAAUAUUGCACAAUUAGCGCAAGCUAGAUGCAGCAACGCCGCGUGGACGAUGAAGGCCUUCGGGUUGUAAAGUCCUUUUAAGAGGGACGAGUAAGGACGGUACCUCUUGAAUAAGUCUCGGCUAACUACGUGCCAGCAGCCGCGGUAACACGUAGGAGACUAGCGUUAUCCGGAUUUACUGGGCGUAAAGCGCGUGUAGGCGGUUUGGUAAGUCGGGCGUGAAAUCUCCUGGCUCAACUGGGAGGGGCCGUCCGAAACUACCAGACUGGAGGGCAGAAGAGGGAGGUGGAAUUCCGGGUGUAGUGGUGAAAUGCGUAGAUAUCCGGAGGAACACCAGUGGCGAAGGCGGCCUCCUGGUCUGUCCCUGACGCUCAGACGCGAAAGCUAGGGGAGCGAACGGGAUUAGAAACCCCGGUAGUCCUAGCCGUAAACGAUGCGGACUUGGUGUUGGUGGCUUAAACUCCAUCAGUGCCGUAGCUAACGCGAUAAGUCCGCCGCCUGGGGACUACGACCGCAAGGUUA
rnacentral:rRNA from 1 species